rnacentral:rRNA from 1 species
CCUACGGGAGGCAGCAGUGAGGAAUAUUGGUCAAUGGGUGCUAGCCUGAACCAGCCAAGUAGCGUGAAGGAUGACUGCCCUAUGGGUUGUAAACUUCUUUUAUAUGGGAAUAAAGUGCAGUAUGUAUACUGCUUUGCAUGUACCUUAUGAAUAAGGAUCGGCUAACUCCGUGCCAGCAGCCGCGGUAAUACGGAGGAUCCGAGCGUUAUCCGGAUUUAUUGGGUUUAAAGGGAGCGUAGGCGGGUUGUUAAGUCAGUUGUGAAAGUUUGCGGCUCAACCGUAAAAUUGCAGUUGAUACUGGCAUCCUUGAGUACAGUAGAGGUAGGCGGAAUUCGUGGUGUAGCGGUGAAAUGCUUAGAUAUCACGAGGAACUCCGAUUGCGAAGGCAGCCUGCUGGACUGUAACUGACGCUGAUGCGCGAAAGUGUGGGUAGCAAACAGGAUUAGAUACCCGUGUAGUC